UAAAUACUCCCUCCGUCCCAAAAUUCUUGUCUUAUAUUUAUCUAGAUACGGAUGUAUCUGACACUAAAAUGUAACUAGAUACAUCCGUAUUUAGACAAAUCAAAGACAAAAAUUUUGGGAUGGUGGGAGUAUAAG
rnacentral:pre_miRNA from 1 species